rnacentral:rRNA from 1 species
ACAUCGUUUGUUGUGCCACAACAAAUAGACUCUGCCCGGUGUUAUCAAACGGCCGCAGUAUACUGACUGUGCCAAGGUAGCGCAAUCAUUUGUUUUCUAAUUCAAAACCCGUAUGAAAGAGCUGACGAAGUGGUAACUCUCUUUAACCAUCAACAUAAACUUAAGCUUGAGGCUAAAACGCCUCUUUCCUCUAGGGGGACGAUAAGACCCUACAAAACUUUACUCUUUACCAUAAUUAAUUGCGAUAAGAGGUUGGCUGGGGCGGCCAAACUUCAGCCUACACCAGCUCAAACUUUACACUUUGAGUGACAACAACUUACACAACUACAAAACAAAUUAGUUACUUUAGGGAUAACAGCGCAAUAUUUCUUUAAAGCUCCUAUUGCCAGAUAUGAUUUCGACCUCGAUGUUGAAUUGGCCAACCAUAACGAAGCAACCCUUGAUAUUGGAGGUCUGUUCGACCUUCAAACCACCACGUGAUCUGAUUCCAGACCGGAC